UACGUAGGGCGCAAGCGUUAUCCGGAAUUAUUGGGCGUAAAGAGCUUGUAGGCGGUUUGUCGCGUCUGCCGUGAAAAUCCGGGGCUCAACCCCGGACUUGCGGUGGGUACGGGCAGACUAGAGUUCGGUAGGGGAGACUGGAAUUCCUGGUGUAGCGGUGAAAUGCGCAGAUAUCAGGAGGAACACCGAUGGCGAAGGCAGGUCUCUGGGCCGAUACUGACGCUGAGGAGCGAAAGCGUGGGGAGCGAACAGG
rnacentral:rRNA from 1 species